GGGAAGGAUGAGAAGCUUCAAUUAAGGUUCGAUUCGAGCGCAGCGAGAAAGCGUUGCCGCAGGCAACGACCCGAAGGGCGAAGCGCGCAGCGCUGAGUCAUCCUUCCCCCACCACCA
rnacentral:sRNA from 2 species